rnacentral:rRNA from 1 species
UACAGAGGGUGCGAGCGUUGUCCGGAAUCACUGGGCGUAAAGGGCGCGUAGGUGGCGCGACAAGUCAGUGGUGAAAGUUCGACGCUCAACGUCGAAUCGGCCACUGAUACUGUUGGGCUUGAGCACUGUAGAGGCUAAUGGAAUUCCGGGUGUAGCGGUGGAAUGCGUAGAGAUCCGGAAGAACACCGGUGGCGAAAGCGGUUAGCUGGGCAGUUGCUGACACUGAGGCGCGACAGCGUGGGGAGCAAACAGGG